ACUAGCCCAACAUUAUUAGGUGCAUAGUGUGGCGCGGAAAACCACCAAUGCGACCAUUAACAUUUUUUUUGUGAGGUGGCCUCAGCCAUUAGUACGGAUCACAUCAUUAAGAGAUGCCAUAAGGCUUGCCUCAAUACGAAUUUCACAAUAAAAAAAAUCUAAAUAAAAUAUCUUCAAAACAAAUAGCAUUGUACGACCAUCAUUAAGAAUUGCCAUAAAAUGACAUUAACAUGACCACACAUAAAUAUCUCUAGAUAAAAUUUCCUACGAUAAAUUUUAUAUACGAUCUUAACAUAUCUUCAGGCAAUUAAUACAUUGUUGCCAAAAAAAAGUAACAUACAUCAAAUGCACCUUUUUUAAAGAACAUAAUCUGGCCCAUAAUUACCCAAGGUUUUUCAUUAAGAAAACUUUAUCAUUAUUAGCAUUAUUUUACAUGACCUUGGGCACAUGAAUUUUCCAAGAAAAUAUUCUUGUAGGUUCCACUCAGAAAACUCAAGUUAGAUUUACAAGAAAACUUUUCUGGCUAUUUUCAGUUUAUAACAGUGCAAAAAACAUUUUGAGGAUAAUCAUAAUUUAGAAAAGCACUGAAAAAAAUAGCACUUAACUUCAAUUUCGGACUGUACUGCUCGUUAAAAGUUCGGGCUAGCAGAGAAAAUGCACCGAACGUUAAAAAAAAUAAGUUGGGUCGUAGCCCACUUAUUCAUUUGGCAGGGUUAAGCGCCAGCAGACGCCCUGAGCUCCGCGUCGAUCGCGACCGUCCGGUGGAAUCGACGGGCCAGAUUAGCUCGAGCUCGAGCAAAAUCGGCACUGGGUCAAACCCUAGCCUCAUUUCCCCUUCUCCCCCCGAUUUCCACGGCUCCACAGGAGAGGCGAUCCCGGCGGCGACCCAAGGCACGCCGGCCAUGGCGGUGCGGUAGCCCCGUUCGUCGGAGCAGCGUGCCUGCAGGCUCAAGGCCGCGCGCUCCUCCACCGAACGGUGCUAGCCGUGUCGACCUCAUGGUGCGCUGGGAGGCAGUCCGUGCCGGCGACGCGCACGAGGCGCUCGACGGCGAGUUGGGGAGGCGACCGCCGGCGCCUGAUCUUUGGGAGUAGACGACGACGUUUGCGGCACAGGGGCCACACGGCGUUUGCGUCCAUAAGGGCGGCGUGGCCGGCCAAUUCUUUCCCCGUGAGACAGCGGCGUCGCCGGUGUCGGGAUCCCGAAGGAGAGCACCGGCACGACGUCAUUAGGGAUCAGCAGGAGAUAGCCCAUGGCGGCACCUUGGGGUCUCCGACAGUGAAGACAUGCCUGGGGAAGAAGGGCAACACCACCUGGGUGACGUAGAUGGCAGCAGGCACUUGUGGAGAUGCAGCAGCUGCUCCAGGAGCCUUGCCGAUGGCAGGAGGAAACCGCCAGCACUGUCUUCACGGCGGCCGGUGGUGGUCGAUGGUCUUCACGUACCUCACCACACGUUUAGGAUCGGCAGUUAGGAGGCUUUGAUUGUGGUUCUGUUAUCAGUAACAAAACCCCCUUUUUUUCCUUAUAUAUGUGUGUGUUGGGUACAUGGGACCAGAACCAAAAGUUGUUAUAUGUGCUCCCGAUCAAGGCACACUCGUGAGAGGGUGGAGACUUUGUCUCCCUUAUUUUUCUCUUGGUUUGUUUACCGUGAGAUCAAUUCCAACAGUUCUUUCUUGCAA